AACGAACGCUGGCGGCAUGCCUAACACAUGCAAGUCGAACGAGACCUUCGGGCCUAGUGGCGCACGGGUGCGUAACGCGUGGUAACCUGCCCUUAGGUUCGCAAUAACUCCCCGAAAGAGGUCCUAAUACCGGUUAAUCUCUUCGGACCAAAGAUUUGUCGCCUUUGGAUGGGCCCGGGUUGGAUUCGCUAGUUGGUAGGGUAAAAGCCUACCAAGGCGACGAUGCAUAGCUGGUCUGAGAGGAUGAUCAGCCACACUGGCCCUGAGACACGGCCCAGACUCCUACGGGAGGCAGCAGUGGGGAAUAUUGGACAAGGGGCGAAAGCCUGAUCCAGCAAUGCCGGGUGAGUGAUGAAGGCCUUAGGGUUGUAAAGCUCUUUUACACGGGAUGAUAAUGACGGUACCGGGAGAAUAAGCACCGGCUAACUACGUG
rnacentral:rRNA from 1 species